rnacentral:rRNA from 1 species
CCUACGGGAGGCAGCAGUGGGGAAUCUUGCGCAAUGGGCGAAAGCCUGACGCAGCAACGCCGCGUGCGGGAUGAAGGCCUUCGGGCUGUAAACCGCUUUCAGCAGGAACGAAAAUGACGGUACCUGCAGAAGAAGGAGCGGCCAACUACGUGCCAGCAGCCGCGGUGACACGUAGGCUCCAAGCGUUGUCCGGAUUUAUUGGGCGUAAAGAGCUCGUAGGCGGUUGAGUAAGUCGGGUGUGAAAACUCUGGGCUUAACCCGGAGACGCCAUCCGAUACUGCUCUGACUUGAGUUCAGGAGGGGAGUGGGAAUUCCUAGUGUAGCGGUGAAAUGCGCAGAUAUUAGGAGGAACACCGGUGGCGAAGGCGCCACUCUGGACUGAAACUGACGCUGAGGAGCGAAAGCAUGGGUAGCAAACAGGAUUAGAUACCCUGGUAGUCCAUGCCGUAAACGGUGGGCACUAGGUGUGGGUUCCAACUAACGGGAUCCGCGCCGUCGCUAACGCAUUAAGUGCCCCGCCUGGGGAGUACGGUCGCAAGACUAAAACUCAAAGGAAUUGACGG